UUCUAACGUGGACCCGUGAUCCGGGUUGCGGACAGUGUCUGGUGGGUAGUUUGACUGGGGCGGUCUCCUCCUAAAGAGUAACGGAGGAGCACGAAGGUUGGCUAAUCCUGGUCGGACAUCAGGAGGUUAGUGCAAUGGCAUAAGCCAGCUUGACUGCGAGCGUGACGGCGCGAGCAGGUGCGAAAGCAGGUCAUAGUGAUCCGGUGGUUCUGAAUGGAAGGGCCAUCGCUCAACGGAUAAAAGGUACUCCGGGGAUAACAGGCUGAUACCGCCCAAGAGUUCAUAUCGACGGCGGUGUUUGGCACCUCGAUGUCGGCUCAUCACAUCCUGGGGCUGAAGUAGGUCCCAAGGGUAUGGCUGUUCGCCAUUUAAAGUGGUACGCGAGCUGGGUUUAGAACGUCGUGAGACAGUUCGGUCCCUAUCUGCCGUGGGCGCUGGAGAACUGAGGGGGGCUGCUCCUAGUACGAGAGGACCGGAGUGGACGCAUCACUGGUGUUCGGGUUGUCAUGCCAAUGGCACUGCCCGGUAGCUAAAUGCGGAAGAGAUAAGUGCUGAAAGCAUCUAAGCACGAAACUUGCCCCGAGAUGAGUUCUCCCUGAGACUUAGAGUCUCCUGAAGGAACGUUGAAGACGACGACGUUGAUAGGCCGGGUGUGUAAGCGCAGCGAUGCGUUGAGCUAACCGGUACUAAUGAACCGUGAGGCUUAACCUUACAACGCCGAAG
rnacentral:rRNA from 1 species